GAGUAAAUGUAACCACUAUAUGAUUGCAGCGCCACCAGCUGGAGUGGCGGGUAUUGAAACUAACGCUGUAAAAACAACUAUAGCCAAAUUUGAGAACUCCCGUAGAUUGGGUUUGGAUCGCACUACUUUUUUGGAGGUUUAUGUCUCCGAUAAACUCACCACGAUUUCUUGUCCAUAUUUAAGUAUUAGAAAAUCAUACGAUAUUUUGUGGUCCAAUCAGAGCAGGACACGUUAGAAAUUGCUUCGGGUUUCAAUACGCGAUGUGGGACAAUCGGUCCCCAAUAUGACCUGAUAUGAACAAAGAUUCAUUCCCGUUUAGCCAGUGAAAGUGACCAGUUCAUAUUCGCUUUCGAGAUCGCUGCAGAAGUGGACUACAAAUCAGUACAGAAUUUUAAGAUACCGUGUGAGCAAAUUAUAAGACAAUUUAACGAUAGUGAGAGCAAAGUUUUUGCCUGUGAAGUGGAGCGUGUAUCCUUACUUUGUAUUACAAAAGCGAUCGUGAGUAGUUCUACAGAACGGUGGAUUUAAAAUUAGCGGCCAAGAGCCUGCAUUUAAGAACCUUCAGGCGAAGGUUUUUUUUAUGGGAUCAGGUACCAUCGUACUACCAGCGCCAGCACGAAAGCGCCUUAUCGGCGUUUCCACACGUGGUGCUUCGAGUAGCUCCUUGGAGGAUCAAGUCGUAGCUAGGCCCACGUGUGCCCUCCCCCCUCAACAACCACGAGCAACUGCCUUCCAGAUUCCACGAGCCACCGCUAGGAUC